ensembl:lncRNA
CCUCUCUACCAGCGCGACCUCACGCCCCGUCUGGCGGACAGAAGAGCUCGCGGGGCAGCUGGAAGACGACCCUGUCCGGGUCAGCACCAUCCCGCCCCGGGCCCACUCACAUCGCUACCACAGCAGCGAGCGGCUGGCUCGUCAACACAGCUCGGGUACUGGCCGGGUGCAGCCAGCGAGCAUGCGCAGUCGCCAGUCCCGGGGGAGCCCCGGCUAGCUGGCUAUACCUGCGCUCAACAGGUCCGCGGCCGCGCGACCCCGCCCCCGGCCUCUCUCCCCGCCCUUCCCCGAGGCCUGGCUCCGUCCCCUUUGGACUCCUUGCCCCGCCCCUAUGGAUCUUCAACUGCCAAUCCGGCUUCGGCGCGACUGAGAUUGGGAGAUUUGUGCACUCUGCCCGGCUCCCACUCCCAAGUUCCCGCGAGAACGGGAAGGCUGCGUCAUUAAAAGGCGCCAGGCCAGACCUCCAGGUUCCUGCGCCACUCACUUUGUGGACUAAAGAAGCUGUUCUUCGGGACCCAGGCUGUGUUUUGGCGGAACGUGGGUGCGCAUCUUUGACGGCGUCCAAAAGGGUGCAGGAGAACCGCUGAAGUGAAGCCUUUGGCGCUUAAACUCCACUUACAGAAGCCCUUGAAAAAGUCCUUCAUUGAUUUAUUCAUUCUUCUAUUUCUGAAUCUAACCCAGGGCAACUUUUUGCUGUGCAUAAAAUUAUUAUGCGAUUGAAGCAGAACUUUCAAAGAAAAUUGCGGCCACGGCUUGUGCAUUAAAAAUGAAAUCAGGAGGUCGAUGAUGGUGACAGUUGCCUAACAGUGUGUAUAGACCUAAUGCCACUGAACUGUGCUCUUAAAAAUGGUUAAAAUGGAAACAUAUGUUUUACUACAAUAAAAAUGAGGGAAAAUAUUUGUGCACUCAAGGAUAAUAGUGAUGCCUGAUAUCUUAGACCAUUUGGGAGCAAGUUAUGAAUAUAUUACUCUUUGGCUUUUUUUCAUUUUUGAAUGAAUUUUAAUUUUGUGUGUGUGUGUGUGUGUGUGUGCCGGGGAUCGAACUCUGAACCUUUCGCUGGUGAGGCAGGCGGCAGAACUGCUGAGUUAAAUCCCUGACCCCUUGAAUGCAUUUUAAACAUAAAUUGGAAGUAUCCGAUAUCAUCUGAUGACUAGUUCUGUUAGCAUUUGUAUAAAUGGUUACUUUCCUGGCUCCUAAUGUGUUCUUUAAAGGGCUUCUGUAGUGGCCCUUUACCAUUUUACUAUCCCUUCUACAAAAGAUUGUUUUGUGACUAGAGCUUUACCCUCAAAAUUGAAAGGCUUUUUUCUAUUUUAAUUUCCAUAUGUGUCUUAGGGAAAUAUAGCCAAUUUGCAUCUCCACAUACAUGCAUCCCUAAAAUACAGCCUGUGUCAAGAUUAUUUCCCUGUUCUCGGUUCUUUUUAUUUAAAUCACAUUUUAAAAUCAUCGACUAUGUGCCAAGCACUGUAGUAAUCUUGGAGGAUACCAACAAAAAUAGAACUUGGGUAGAGUGGAAUGUUUGCGUAAUUGUGUUACAAUGGAUUGUGUGUAGUGCAGUGGUAUAUGCACAGGGAACUGUGGGAACUCAGAGUAAUCCAAUUUAGGUUGAUAAGCAGUAAUGAGUCAGGAAAGACUUCCAGGAGACAUUAACUAGAAAAUUAAGGAAGUGGGAUGUGUGGUGGGAUUUCUUGAAAAAAAAGCUAGAGUGGGAAACUUGUCUAAAUGAAAAUUAAAAGCACUUCUAUACCACUAUUGGAUGUUUUGAGACUAGAGAAGUCAACAAGGAUCAUGGUGAGGCUUUGAAGGACUCGGAUUCAACUUGUAUCUUUUAAAUUAAUUGUUUAAAAAAGUGUUUGCCAAACAAAAAGGUGGUCAACCACUGUGCUAGUUAACAGAAUAUACAGUGAAGACUAGUCAGUCUCAACUUUCAAGAAGUUUGCAAAGAGGAGAUAGGAAUGUAAAAUUUAAUUUACUUCUGCUAAAGAGUUAAAAUUGAGGUAGGCACGAGGUUGUUUGGAAACUCAAAAGAGGAGCACUUAACAGAUUUAAGCAAGGCUGCCUGGAAAUUCCAUCAAUAGAAAAAUAAUAAUAAUCUUAUAAAGAAAAGAAAAAGUGUAUCUACUGAAGUACAGACUUCUGGAGAAUAUAGCACAUACUGAUCUAAUUGUCAGACUACCUGGAUUUUAGUUCUAAAAACUAGUAAUUCUUGGAAUCUCUACUUCUCUAUGUCUUCAUUUUCUCUCAUAUAUAAAAAAAAUCAAAUUACAUAGAAUUUAAAUUCCUCUGGAAAUUUCUCCAGAAAUCUUAUGAUUCUAAAUUUACUUCCAGUUUAUCUGCCUGGAUUUUGCAUCUCCAUUAUGCUGCUAAUAAACAUUUUGGUGUCAGAUUUCAUGUGUAUUAUGUUACAUAUGUCAGUUUCCAUCCAAGUUUUGUG